GCUUGGAGAUCCCCGGGCCCGCAGAGCUGCGGCGCGAGGCUCGGGCUGGGGGGGGGGGGAAGCUGGGCUCGUCGCUUUAAACGCAUCGCGGCGGGCACCCGCCGGCCCCCGGCCGGGCGCGCACACACGGGCACACACGCACGCAUGCACGCACGCACACUCCCCCCGCCCGCCGCCUCUUCUGGGAGCCAGCUCUGACUGCGGCGCAUUCGUCCGGGAGUCUGCCCGCUCCGGCCAGGCUGGCUCGCUGCGGACGCUAGCCCCCAGAUUUGCCUGCCACCCGAUCUCGGGGGACAUGGCUGUGGACGUAACUGAAUACCAUCUUAGCGGUGAGUUAGACCAAUAAGAACACUCCACACGUGCCGGUGAGUUAGACCAAUAAGAACACUCCACAUGCGCCCGGCACUCCAGGCUGCCCAGAGCCCAGUCCCACUCGUCCAAGUGGUCAGUAGAGCGGCAGUCCGGGAGGGAUGGUGUCCUUCUGGCUGUCUCUCCCUUGUCUAGAGCUUUCCCUCAAUAAAGGUUUGGUGAAAUGCACUGGCUCCUGCUCACACUAGCUGCCUGGGGAAGGUGCGGGCUGCAGGCCCGGGGAGGGGCCGGCCCUGCCCCGUCCUCGCUGGGCCCACGCUGGCUGCAGCUGGACUGAACCCGGCCUCCGCUCUAGUGGACAAUUUUUCCGAUUGACUAACGUUCUGUUUCCCCGGGAGGCCCCCAUUCAGAAUUCUCUUAUCUCACGCCUCCCCCGGGAGGAUUUCUUUGUCCCUAGGCCACGUAGGAGGGAGGCUUCAAGCCUCUGCCUGGGGUGGGGGGUGGGGGUCCUAUGCCAUCAUCCUCAGCGGUUGGAGAAGGUGCGGGGAAGGCGGCUGAAUCAUCCCGAGCUCCCCGAUUGGUCCCCCUGCAGCCCACCACUUCCUCCCGCCUACACUCUGGAGCAGAGCUGGGGGAGACGGGGAGGGCGCAUCUCCCUGCCGGUCUUUUGGGGGAAAGGGGGAGGAUGGCGAGGCAGGUGGGGGAUGGCCGCUGCCCCUGGGUGGGUCAGCCCUUCUCGGGUGGAGCCUUCUGCCCCUCGGCCUUAGGGCCGCUGGAGACUCUGGCGGGAGGGGGACCCUCUGGCCGCCGCAUCUCCUCCCUGGCGAGCCUCACCUGCUGGGGAUGGGUCAGGGGGCUGGGGGGUGGGGGUGGUCGUUUCCUAUCCUGACCCGAGGAGCUUCCCCUCUCCAUAGCUCUUGGUGGUUGCCUUUCUUUACAGCAGCUCCCUAAGUGGGGCAGGGUAAGUAUUUUUAUCCUUAUUUUGUAGAUGGGAAAACGGGGCCCAAAGAGGCGAUUCAGUCUCCUCCAUGUCCCUUGGCUAGCUAGGCGAGGAAGCUCAAGGACAUCUAGGAAGCUGAGGACUCCUCAAGGGCAGAGACUUUGGGGAAUUGGCCUCUGGAGCCCAGUGCUUGGCACAAACCAGGCGCUUCAAAAUGCUUGUCUGUGGGCGGCCUCAAACAUCACCUGGUCUAAGCCGUGCUCAGGAUUUUCAUUUGAAAUCCUACCCUUCACUUACCACCCCCCACCCCAGUGCGGGGAUCCCCUAGCUCCCAAAGCGAUCCAUCUGGGCCGGCUCGCCUGCUCUUUCCCUGCCCUUGGCUCCUGGCUCUCCCUGCCCUAGCCACUGUGAAUGGGGAUGGCCACCAGGUAACUCCGGUGACUCCUGAGCCCGACUCCUCUAACCCGACCCAACCAGCUAUUCUUCACGGGACCCCAUGGCUCAGGCUGACCCUAGCAGAGCAAACCCCUCUUAAUGCAGCCCGAGAUGACCUAACUUGAGCUCACAGGCCAGAUUUCUUCAAACGAAUGAGCCGGGACGUGGCGGGGAGUCGGUCCUCACUCACAAGGGAUCUUCCAACUAAGGCAGAGGGACAUAGGUCUAGGGGUCACUGUGGAGAACGUUUUAGUGUUUGGAGGUGGAGGUUCUUUGCAAAUCUGGAAUUCUGUAAUUGAAUCUAACUUCGCCCCUGCUCCUCCCAUUUUGUCCUAAUGGACUUGAUCUUUUGAACCCCAGUGCUGAUCUUGACAUUCACCCCUAAUACUCUUCCACUUCUCCGAUUCAGCCCAACGCUCUAGCCUGUGGUGUUUCUUGGGAUUUCAGACUAUCACUGAGUAGGACUCUUCUAGCAUUUUGAUGUGCUGUCUUUCUCCAAAUAUGGGGAACAGCCCAAGGUCAAGCAGAGACCCCUGGGGCCUGCGACUGGAAGUGAACUGUGACCUAUUCACACUCCUGUUCCCAGCUCUUCUGAUUCUACUCCUGUCCACCCCCACAGCUCUCCAUCACUUCCACAGAGUAGGAGGAGAUACUUUAUGGAAAGCCUUGCUAAAAUUUAGGUAAACUCCAUCUGAUCCAGUAGCUUAGAAGCCCUAUCAGAAAAGGAAAUCCAGUGAGCCCGAGAGAACCCAUUCUUGAUGGAAUCCGAUCCUUUCCUAGCUGGACACUAGCCCCGUCCAUCUUUAGAAUUUUCCUAAGCUCACUGGCCUCCAGAUACACACUCUGUCUUCUUCCCCAGUCCUGCACUAUCUGUCCCGUUCCUCAAGAUUGGAAAAUGUCACUGAUGGCAGCUCAGCAGUCACCCGCUGGCUUUCAGGGGUGUGAGGAAAACGCUUUGUCCGCCUUGAAGCAUGAAUCCAUCUUUGGGAUCUGUGAUUUCAUUGCUGGACGUCUCCUCCAACAAUGCAGAUGGCAGCUCAUCCCUCAUUUCCCCAUCCCGUGCAGCUCUUAUCCGUGUUAGCCUUUUAAGUCCACUCGACACGCCGGGGGCCUUGCUUGCUUUCUCCUGACAUCGCGAGGACGCCGGUGGGGUACACAGGCUGGUCCUCGGUGAUCCCUCUUCUCUUGCCGGGUAACCAGGCCACCCCCUCUUUGGAUCACCCAGUCCCUGCUGACAUCCUUCUUUCUGCCAUGGCCUGGUCACCACCACCACGCGCCUCUCGGCGGCCCUCUGAGUGGUCCUCGUUUGAUUUUUUUAGGGGCCGUAGAGUUCUACGACCCACAGCCAAAGAGAAUCAGUGGAAUAGCGGUUGCUAAAAAGAUAGGCCUUUGUCCCAGGGAGAAGUUUGGGGUCAUUAAGGGAGCUUUGCGAUUUCCCUACAACAAUCCAGCCUGCUCUCCUCUUAUCUAAUUCUGGGUCAAACUCACCAUCCAUUUGUUUAUCUAAGAUUCUAUCUAUUUUUCUAUAUAAUAUAUAAAUAUAUGUAUAUAUGUAUGUAGGUAUAUAUAUAUAUUGAUGGACAAGCUCUAUAGUUUAUCUAAUUGCAAGCCAUAAUCUGAACUACGGGUAUCUUUCAUCCAUUUGCUUGGUCUUAUGUAGACGACCAGGUCAGACUCUUUAAGUGGUCACAGAUCUCAUCCCGGGGGCUCUGCGAUGUUCUGGGCUUCGAUGCUAUCGACACGAUGUCCUAUUUUACCCGGGAGACCUUACCUUCCAUAACGAACACCUCUUCACCUUGAACUCGGGGCUGGAUCUCCUCCAUCGCAGCGGCAAACCCUCGCAUCAAGUGCCGCCCGCCCGUUUCGUGCCCUGCCUGAUGCUAACGACUUCAGGGAGGUCAAAAGGAGGUGGUUCUGAUCUUUCUAGGGAUCUUCAAUCUUUUUUGAGCUAUGGACAGGAGGCAGCUUGUUCAAAGAGCUGUUUAGGUCACUGCCAAAUCAAGGGCUUUAAAAAAUAAUAGCACAUGGGGUGGCAAAUUCUUGGCACCUUUUGGUCAACCGAUUACUAGUAAAAAUGCUCUGUUGUGGACUGUUGCUUACAAAAUGUUGCCUAUUCUUUACUGACUGACGUCCCUUCAAAUUAAGGAUGCCCUGGAUGCAUGUGUGGACUAUUCUAACUUAGAGAUGGG